rnacentral:rRNA from 1 species
AUUGAACGCUGGCGGAAUGCUUUACACAUGCAAGUCGAGCGGCAGCGCGGCCUUCGGGCUGGCGGCGAGCGGCGAACGGGUGAGUAAUGCAUCGGAACAUGCCCAGUCGUGGGGGAUAACACUUCGAAAGAAGUGCUAAUACCGCAUACGUCCUGAGGGGGAAAGCGGGGGAUCGCAAGACCUCGCGCGAUUGGAGUGGCCGAUGUCAGAUUAGCUAGUUGGUGGGGUAAAGGCCUACCAAGGCGACGAUCUGUAGCUGGUCUGAGAGGAUGAUCAGCCACACUGGGACUGAGACACGGCCCAGACUCCUACGGUAGGCAGCAGUGGGGAAUUUUGGACAAUGGGGGCAACCCUGAUCCAGCCAUUCCGCGUGAGUGAAGAAGGCCUUCGGGUUGUAAAGCUCUUUCGGCAGGAACGAAACGGUGGGCUCUAACAUAGUCCGCUAAUGACGGUACCUGAAGAAGAAGCACCGGCUAACUACGUG